rnacentral:rRNA from 1 species
GGGCAUGGCGGCGGCCUACCAUGCAAGUCGAGCGGUAGCACAGAGAGCUUGCUCUCGGGUGACGAGCGGCGGACGGGUGAGUAAUGUCUGGGAAACUGCCUGAUGGAGGGGGAUAACUACUGGAAACGGUAGCUAAUACCGCAUAACGUCGCAAGACCAAAGUGGGGGACCUUCGGGCCUCAUGCCAUCAGAUGUGCCCAGAUGGGAUUAGCUAGUAGGUGGGGUAACGGCUCACCUAGGCGACGAUCCCUAGCUGGUCUGAGAGGAUGACCAGCCACACUGGAACUGAGACACGGUCCAGACUCCUACGGGAGGCAGCAGUGGGGAAUAUUGCACAAUGGGCGCAAGCCUGAUGCAGCCAUGCCGCGUGUGUGAAGAAGGCCUUCGGGUUGUAAAGCACUUUCAGCGGGGAGGAAGGCGAUAAGGUUAAUAACCUUGUCGAUUGACGUUACCCGCAGAAGAAGCACCGGCUAACUCCGUGCCAGCAGCCGCGGUAAUACGGAGGGUGCAAGCGUUAAUCGGAAUUACUGGGCGUAAAGCGCACGCAGGCGGUCUGUCAAGUCGGAUGUGAAAUCCCCGGGCUCAACCUGGGAACUGCAUUCGAAACUGGCAGGCUAGAGUCUUGUAGAGGGGGGUAGAAUUCCAGGUGUAGCGGUGAAAUGCGUAGAGAUCUGGAGGAAUACCGGUGGCGAAGGCGGCCCCCUGGACAAAGACUGACGCUCAGGUGCGAAAGCGUGGGGAGCAAACAGGAUUAGAUACCCUGGUAGUCCACGCCGUAAACGAUGUCGAUUUGGAGGUUGUGCCCUUGAGGCGUGGCUUCCGGAGCUAACGCGUUAAAUCGACCGCCUGGGGAGUACGGCCGCAAGGUUAAAACUCAAAUGAAUUGACGGGGGCCCGCACAAGCGGUGGAGCAUGUGGUUUAAUUCGAUGCAACGCGAAGAACCUUACCUGGUCUUGACAUCCACAGAACUUUCCAGAGAUGGAUUGGUGCCUUCGGGAACUGUGAGACAGGUGCUGCAUGGCUGUCGUCAGCUCGUGUUGUGAAAUGUUGGGUUAAGUCCCGCAACGAGCGCAACCCUUAUCCUUUGUUGCCAGCGGUUCGGCCGGGAACUCAAAGGAGACUGCCAGUGAUAAACUGGAGGAAGGUGGGGAUGACGUCAAGUCAUCAUGGCCCUUACGACCAGGGCUACACACGUGCUACAAUGGCAUAUACAAAGAGAAGCGACCUCGCGAGAGCAAGCGGACCUCAUAAAGUAUGUCGUAGUCCGGAUUGGAGUCUGCAACUCGACUCCAUGAAGUCGGAAUCGCUAGUAAUCGUAGAUCAGAAUGCUACGGUGAAUACGUUCCCGGGCCUUGUACACACCGCCCGUCACACCAUGGGAGUGGGUUGCAAAAGAAGUAGGUAGCUUAACCUUCGGGAGGGCGCUUACCCACUUGUGAUUCCGAAUGGG